rnacentral:rRNA from 1 species
UACAGAGGGUGCAAGCGUUGUUCGGAUUCACUGGGCGUAAAGGGUGCGUAGGUGGCCAGGUAAGUUUGGUGUGAAAGCUCGGAGCUUAACUCCGAAAAGUCAUUGAAUACUAUCUGGCUGGAGGGUCGGAGGGAGACUGGAAUUCUCGGUGUAGCAGUGAAUGCGUAGAUAUCGAGAGGAACACCAGUGGCGAAGGCGAGUCUCUGGACGACUCCUGACACUGAGGCACGAAAGCUAGGGAGCAAACCAGG